rnacentral:rRNA from 1 species
GGGCCCGCACAAGCGGUGGAGCAUGUGGUUUAAUUCGACGCAACGCGAAGAACCUUACCAGGUCUUGACAUCCGGCUAAAGGCACUAGAGAUAGUGAGAUAGUUAUAGCCGAGACAGGUGGUGCAUGGUUGUCGUCAGCUCGUGUCGUGAGAUGUUAGGUUAAGUCCUGCAACGAGCGCAACCCUUGUCCUUAGUUACCAUCAUUAAGUUGGGGACUCUAAGGAGACUGCCGGUGUAAAUCGGAGGAAGGUGGGGAUGACGUCAAAUCAUCAUGCCCUUUAUGACCUGGGCUACACACGUGCUACAAUGGACGGUACAAAGAGAAGCAAGAUAGUGAUAUUAAGCAAACCUCAGAAAGCCGUUCUCAGUUCGGAUUGAAGUCUGCAACUCGACUUCAUGAAGCCGGAAUCGCUAGUAAUCGCGAAUCAGAACGUCGCGGUGAAUACGUUCUCGGGCCUU